UAGUCAUAUGCUUGUCUCAGAGAUUAAGCCAUGCAUGUCUAAGUACAUACCUUCAAACGGUGAAACCGCGAAUGGCUCAUUAAAUCAGCUAUGGUUCCUUAGAUCGUACCUACUACAUGGAUAACUGUAGUAAUUCUAGAGCUAAUACAUGCCACUAUGCCCUGACCCGCAAGGGGAUGGGUGGAUUUAUUAGAACAGAACCAACCAGUUGUGGCUUCGGCUGCUUCUGUUGCAUUCUGUGAUGACUCUGGAUAACUUCACUGAUCGCAGUCGGCCUUGUGUCGGCGACGGAUCUUUCAAAUGUCUGCCCUAUCAAUUUUCGAUGGUAGGUGAUCUGCCUACCAUGGUUAUAACGGGUAACGGGGAAUCAGGGUUCGUUUCCGGAGAGGGAGCCUGAGAAACGGCUACCACUUUCCAAGGAAGGCAGCAGGCGCGCAAAUUACCCAAUCCCGGCACGGGGAGGUAGUGACGAAAAAUACGGAUACGGGACUCGAAUGAGGCUCCGUAAUUCGAAUGAGAACAAUUUAAAUCCUUUAACGAGGAUCAACUGGAGGGCAAGUCUGGUGCCAGCAGCCGCGGUAACUCCAGCUCCAGAAGCGUAUAUUAAAGUUGUUGCAGUUAAAAAGCUCGUAGUUGGAUCUGGGUCGUAUGGCUAUGUACCGUCGCUCGUGAGCCUGGCUUGGUUACGACUGGGUCGAGUUCAUGGGUCGGUGUCGUGGCUGUGCAGCCUUUCUGCCGUGUCUGUCUCAGGACAGGUGUCGGCCUUAUCGGUGGGCUUGUCUCGUCGGUUGGUCGGCAUGUACUUUGAUGCCUUUGAACGGGUGUCGGGUGCGGACGGUGCGUUUACUUUGAACAAAUUUGAGUGCUCAAAGCAGGCUUGUGCCUGAAAAGUUUUGCAUGGAAUAAUGGAAUAGGACUUCGGUUCUAUUUUGUUGGUUUUCGGAUCCGAAGUAAUGGUUAAGAGGGACAGACGGGGGCAUUUGUAUGGCGGUGUUAGAGGUGAAAUUCUUGGAUCGCCGCCAGACAAACUACAGCGAAAGCAUUUGCCAAGGAUGUUUUCAUUGAUCUGGAGCGAAAGUCAGAGGUUCGAAGACGAUCAGAUACCGUCCUAGUUCUGACCAUAAACGAUGCCAACUGACGAUCCGUAGGCGCACUUUUAAUGGCCCUGCGGGCAGUCCCCGGGAAACCUUUAAGUUUUUGGGCUCCGGGGGAAGUAUGGUUGCAAAGCUGAAACUUAAAGGAAUUGACGGAAGGGCACCACCAGGAGUGGAGCCUGCGGCUUAAUUCGACUCAACACGGGAAAACUCACCCGGCCCGGACACUGUGAGGAUUGACAGAUUGAUAGCUCUUUCUUGAUUCGGUGGUUGGUGGUGCAUGGCCGUUCUUAGUUGGUGGAGCGAUUUGUCUGGUUAAUUCCGAUAACGAACGAGACUUUGGCCUGCUAAAUAGCACUCCUGUCCUCUGUGCUCGUGCAGGUGGCGGUUCUCUCUGCCCGUUUUACGGGUGGCUGAGUCCGUUUGCCGGCGGGUACUGCGCAGGUGAUUACUUCUUAGAGGGACAAGCGGCGCGCCAGUCGCACGAAAUUGAGCAAUAACAGGUCUGUGAUGCCCUUAGAUGUCCGGGGCCGCACGUGCGCUACAAUGACGGUUUCAGCGAGUUUUAAAACCUGGCCCGAAAGGGUUGGGCAAACUGUAUCAUCACCGUCGUGACUGGGAUCGGGGCUUGCAAUUGUUCCCCGUGAACGAGGAAUUCCUGGUAAGUGCAAGUCAUAAGCUUGCGCUGAUUACGUCCCUGCCCUUUGUACACACCGCCCGUCGCUACUACCGAUUGAAUGGUUUAGCAAGGUCAUCGGAUCGGUGCCAUUUGAGUUGUUUCGGCAACUUUAGCGGUGCUGAGAAGACGACCAAACUUGAUCAUUUAGAGGAAGUAAAAGUCGUAACAAGGAUUCCGU
rnacentral:rRNA from 1 species